rnacentral:rRNA from 1 species
CACAAGCGGUGGAGCAUGUGGUUAAUUCGAAGCAACGCGAAGAACCUUACCAGGUCUUGACAUCCCGAUGCUAUUUCUAGAGAUAGAAAGUUACUUCGGUACAUCGGUGACAGGUGGUGCAUGGUUGUCGUCAGCUCGUGUCGUGAGAUGUUGGGUUAAGUCCCGCAACGAGCGCAACCCCUAUUGUUAGUUGCCAUCAUUCAGUUGGGCACUCUAGCGAGACUGCCGGUAAUAAACCGGAGGAAGUGGGGAUGACGUCAAAUCAUCAUGCCCCUUAUGACCUGGGCUACACACGUGCUACAAUGGUUGGUACAACGAGUUGCGAGUCGGUGACGGCGAGCUAAUCUCUUAAAGCCAAUCUCAGUUCGGAUUGUAGGCUGCAACUCGCCUACAUGAAGUCGGAAUCGCUAGUAAUCGCGGAUCAGCACGCCGCGGUGAAUACGUUCCCGGGCCUU